rnacentral:rRNA from 1 species
AAAUUGAAGAGUUUGAUCAUGGCUCAGAUUGAACGCUGGCGGCAGGCCUAACACAUGCAAGUCGAACGGUAACAGGAAGCAGCUUGCUGCUUUGCUGACGAGUGGCGGACGGGUGAGUAAUGUCUGGGAAACUGCCUGAUGGAGGGGGAUAACUACUGGAAACGGUGGCUAAUACCGCAUAACGUCGCAAGACCAAAGAGGGGGACCUUCGGGCCUCUUGCCAUCAGAUGUGCCCAGAUGGGAUUAGCUUGUUGGUGAGGUAACGGCUCACCAAGGCGACGAUCCCUAGCUGGUCUGAGAGGAUGACCAGCCACACUGGAACUGAGACACGGUCCAGACUCCUACGGGAGGCAGCAGUGGGGAAUAUUGCACAAUGGGCGCAAGCCUGAUGCAGCCAUGCCGCGUGUAUGAAGAAGGCCUUCGGGUUGUAAAGUACUUUCAGCGGGGAGGAAGGUGUUGUGGUUAAUAACCACAGCAAUUGACGUUACCCGCAGAA